UUCACGGAGAGUUUGAUCCUGGCUCAGGACGAACGCUGGCGGCGCGCUUAACACAUGCAAGUCGAGCGAUCGGCUCCGGGCCUUCGGGCCUGGAGUACGGAGCGGCGAACGGGUGAGUAACACGUGGGUAACCUGCCCUCGGCAUCGGGAUAACCCCGGGAAACCGGGGCUAAUACCGGAUACGCUCCGGAGCCUGUGGGCGCCGGAGGAAAGGUAGCUUCGGCCUCCGGCCGAGGAGGGGCCUGCGGCCGAUUAGCUAGUUGGUGGGGUAAUGGCUCACCAAGGCGACGAUCGGUAGCUGGUGUGAGAGCAUGGCCAGCCACACUGGGACUGAGACACGGCCCAGACUCCUACGGGAGGCAGCAGUGGGGAAUCUUGCGCAAUGGGCGAAAGCCUGACGCAGCGACGCCGCGUGCGGGAAGAAGGCCUUCGGGUUGUAAAC
rnacentral:rRNA from 1 species